GAAAGAACGGGCAAUUACACCAACAACGAUGACAUCUUACUAUGCAAUACUUGGUUGCAAGUGUCGAGGGAUCCAUCCGUUGGAGGUGAUCAAAGUAGAGAUGCUUAUUGGGGGCGAAUGAAAGAAAACUUUGAUGCUCACAACAUGAGUGGAAUUGACCGCUCUGAGAGAUCACUUCGGUCCCGAUGGUCGACAAUCAACUCGGAUUGUCAAAAGUGGGCGGCCGCACAAAAGGCAGUUGACAAGUUGAACCCAAGUGGCAUAAAUGAGGAUGAUAGAGUAAGUGAGGAGAGGAAAACCAAGAAGGGGAAGAUCAAGAAAGGAAGGGUCUUUACCUUGCCUCAUUGCUACAAAUUGUUGAAGGAUGAUGAGAAAUGGAAGAAGCGUGAAGAUUUGGAUGAUUUGCAUUUGAGCAACAAACGCAAGCGAACAAUUGAGUUGAAUGAUGAUGAUGAUGAUGAGGAGGAGGAUGCAUCAAGUGAUGACGGCAAGAGAAGCCCCACACCCAACUCAGUUUCGUACUCGAAGCCAAAACGACCGGAUGGGUGGAAGAAAGACAAAACCGAAAAGAUGAAGAGGAAAGGAGAUGAUGAGCUCAAAAAUGCUAUGGAAGCUAUUGUGAAGGCAAGAAAAGAAGCCAACGAGGUGAGGAAAAUGGCAAGGAACCAAGAUGUCGCGGCCGAGGAGAGAAGGGUGGCGGCCGAGGAGAGGAAGGUGGCUUUGGAGGAGAGGAAGGUGAGCAAUGAGGAGCGAACUAGAUUAUUGGAAUGGGAGAAGCACUUGUUCUUCUUGGACACAUCUAACCUCAAUGAAGCGCAAAAGGAGUAUGUCAAUCUUGCCCGUGAAGAAGUGUUG
rnacentral:rRNA from 1 species